CCUACGGGAGGCAGCAGUGAGGAAUAUUGGUCAAUGGACGGAAGUCUGAACCAGCCAAGUCGCGUGCAGGAAGACUGCCCUAUGAGUUGUAAACUGCUUUUGUACAAGGGUAAAACUGAAUACGUGUAUUCAGCUGCCAGUACCGUAUGAAUAAGGAUCGGCUAACUCCGUGCCAGCAGCCGCGGUAAUACGGAGGAUCCAAGCGUUAUCCGGAUUUAUUGGGUUUAAAGGGUGCGUAGGCGGAUUGUUAAGUUAGGGGUUAAAUGUCCGGGCUUAACCCGGGAUCUGCCUCUAAUACUGUUGUACUAGAGAGUAGAUGCGGUAGGCGGAA
rnacentral:rRNA from 1 species